UCGCUCUCUCACUCUCGCUCUCUCGCUCUCUCACAACCGAUCGCCGUUUCCGAUCACUGCAUCACUGAGAAUCGUCGCUCCCGAUCUGCUCUCUCUCUCUCUCUUACUCCGGUUUUGCGUUCCAUUGUCUCUGCCGCACGGCCAUCAAAAUACAGAGUUUCUCAUUAUGGGUGCAAGUGAAACCAUGGUAUUCUCGAAACAACUAGAAGCCACUUGUGGUAUGCAAUCAUGUGGGCUGUGGCACAAUUCUAUGACCAAAGUGUCUGAUGAUGGAAAGAAGGCUCUCCGUGCAGCAAUCAUGAAGAGCAGGUUUUCAGAAACUAUUCUGAAAGCGCAAAAGAAUACACUUUUUGUCCAUGAUAAUAAAGUAGAUCCCUUAAAGAUGCAGCAGGAAAAGAAAAGAUUUGAAAGUAUACAGCUUAAAGGUGAAUUAAGC